GUGACCCUGCUUGGUGCGUGAUCGGGUUUUGUUAUUAACCCACAAUUAAUAACAAACAGGUAAUCGGGUCCCGGAGCGGUUUGCAGGCCUCCCGGCAUUUGGUGUCGGACGUUGGAAGCAGUAAUGUUUUGGGUAGGUUUCCGCCCAACAACAGUUGGUUAUUAAUUCAACCUGUCACGGCCGAAGUGGGGAAAAC
rnacentral:other from 1 species